AUCCCCACUACGUAACUCGCGAUCUUCAUUAGUUAUUGGGACAUUGAACUGGUAGGACGUAUAUUUAGCUGCUUAGAAAUCGAGCAAGCUCUAAUCCACGCCAUGACACUUGAUGCCUAAUUGGAUGAAAUAUUGCGCAGUAAAGACGCCAUGACACCUGUUUGUUGAACAUAUACAUUAGAGGGCAGCAGGACUAUGUAUGUUGCAAUGACGCAGUAAGAAAAUUCAGUUUAAAAAGUUUCGUAGGAAAUCAUGAAUAACGUUUGAGAAAACUUUGGUGAUUCGAAAACGAAGAAACAUUAAUUAUUUCUUAUUCUUUGCAACUUUUCAUCUUUAUUCAUCGACAUAGAAGAUCUACCUUAAUGAUGUCCCUGAUGAAUUUUUCUGAGAGCUCAUCCGAUGACUGUCUCAGAGUAACAGUAUCAUCAACCUAGUAUUUGAGGUUUUUCACUGUUAGUUUCAUUCAUUUUCUACAAACGAUGGAACGUCUAUUUCGGUGGGCGAAACGUUUAUUCUGAAAGGAUUGAAGAAUGAGAAAUUUUUCUUUGCUCGUUAAAGGAAUAAUUUAAGUUGUUUUUUUUUAAAAAAGGUUUUUCGAAAGCGUAUAAGUUUUUCAGCAAAGUGUAGGGGAAUAAAAGUAACACGACUGGUGUAUAUAUGUUAUAUUUCUUUUGAUUCUUGUUCAAGUUAAGAUUUACGCUGGUGAAUGCAUCACUCGGACGUUGAAAAAAAGGAUAAAGGAAGGGAGCUAUAAUAUAUCGAGGCGCGAAAAUUACUAAACCGGCGUUAUAAAAAGGCGGGUUCUUUGUUAAGAAACGGUUUGAAAAUUUAUAGCCAUUUGAAGUUUGGCAUUAUAGAACGUUGAGGUUAUUUUCUUGGGAUAAUAAAUUGUUCUCCUUCCCCUAAAUAGAAUCCGUAAUCGCAGAAAACUUCUUCGAUUAAAGCGAUUAUCAAACUACCCGUAAAAAAGGUUCAAGACCGUGAAAGAAAGUAUGGAAUCAAGUGGUUAAAUUUUUGACAAGAGAAAGGAGCAAAAAAAAAAAUAUUUAAUACAAUCGAGAUAAAAAGAAUCUACAGAUUUAUCGAGUGGAGCAAUUAUUAAAUAUCGAUCAAUAGAAUCAUUAAAAAAAAAAGUUUUAAUUUCAAUUACGCACGCACCCUUUGUGAAUCAUCUGAAAUAAAAAUUGUAACAGCAAAGAUAACUGUGUAUGAUGCAUAAUUCUAGUUUCAAAAGAGUUAAAGUCUCAAAGCUGUCGUUUUUCUCGUUACUCGGACUCGGUGAUUUUUUUUUUCUUUUUUUUUUUUCUUCUUCCAAGGAUCGUUCAAAAGAGCGACGAUAAGACAAGCUGAAUACGCGCUCCUUUAGACGCGCGCUAAGGAAAAUGCAAAAGAGGGAGAUUCAUAGAAGAAGGGAGCUAUAAGACAGGAAUACAAAUCUCGAGGAAACUUCUUUCCACUUUUGACGGCGCAUCUCUCAACCUAUUACAAUCUCGCGGCACAAUAUUCAUUCGAGUCGUUUCUUCUUUUCAGCCUUACGGAUAGCCUCGUUACUUGGCCGGCCAACCCUCUUCUCGUCGCAGUGAAACGCCAACGCAACGGUUAUAAUGGCGCUGCCCUUUUCUUGCGCUCAUGGAGGAGGAGGAGGAGGAGGAGGAGGAGGAGGAAAGAGUUGUUAAUUUACAAUUCAACUCGUUAAGCGGUACAAAUGUAUCGAUUGUUUUAAAUUUUUUAAGUGGAAUAGAAGAAGGUAAGGGAUGAUUCGUUUAAUCGAUGAAGAUAUAUAAUAGGAGAAAAAAAGUGUGGAGUCGCUUGUUACUUUUUAAUUAAAAGGUUGAGAAUUUUGCCCGACUUGAAAAGAACGUGAAAUCAUUAUUGAUAUUUUUUUAUCGAACUAAUUGGCGUUGUUUCGAUCCGUGUGAAAAUUUCAAUUCAGAGAUCGGGGAUAAUCUUACGAAUUUACGAAAGUUUAAAUUCGAAUUAUAAUAACGGAUAGAUUGGUAAGUUUUUGUUUUUUACACGGAAUCGAUAUUUUAAAUUAAUCGUAAACUUCGUUUUUCAAAAACGAAUCUCGUGUCGUCUUACGAAAUUGUAAAUCAAUUAACUGGCCGUAUUUGACUGUCCAGAAAAGAGUUGGCAGAAAAUUUUUAAAUUUCAAACUUUGAAUUAAAUUGUUUCGAUUUUGUUUCACGUAUCGAGAGGAAUAUUUCGAAAUUGAAAAUCCAUGGAAAAUUGGAACACAAAUGUGGUAUGUGGAAAAUGUCACGAAGAAUUACGCGUACGUGGAAAUAUCCUAAAAUACAAUUCAAUACGAAUUUACAACUCGACUUAUUUUCUCAUUCAUCGAUUAUCAAACUGAAUAAUAAAUUUCGUCGAAACAUUCAUUCACUCAAACUCUUCCCUCCAAACAGGGACGAAAACCAAUUUUCGCAACGAUCAAAAAAACAUGCUACAAUAAAACCAACCCCUAAGAAAACGAAAAGAAACCUGCCUAAAUACGUAUCGAAUACCCGCAGUCGACUUCAAAACACCACUUCGAAAGAUGCAUCGAAUUAAUCUUGCCAUUAAGCCCGAGAUUCGAAAAUAAUCGGAACCCGCGAUUUUAAAAUCGUCUGCUCGAAGCAGAUUUUUACGACGAGUGCUCGUAAACGCCUCUCCUCCUCCUCCUCCUCCGACUGAUUGAAAAUCUAACGCGCCAUUGUACCUGAGAGGGGGUAAAUUACGCGACGAUUUCAAUGUUCCCGCGGCGGGGUGAUUUUCACGGCGGCAUUAAACCACCGGCGGAAAAUGCGUUUCGGUGUUAAACACGGGGAAGGGGGGGAAUGAAUCAACCGGCGUCAAACGCAGAUCGCGGCGCAAGUAUGCCAAACACGGUGGAAACGCGUGCGCCUCUAUAAUUGGAUCAUCGAACAAGCCACUGUAGUCCAUAUGUCGAAUAAUGAUCGGGCGUCAAGCGUUGAUCAAACGCGAGCGAGAGGAGGAAUGCGGCGGUUGUCCAAGUACAUGGCGGUGGAGACUUCUGCCCUGCGGAUAUUUCUAUGCGUGAUCGAUUAAUUACACCUGCGGCGGGCUCGCUUGUUCGAUUAUUUCGUGGUGGUGGAAGUUGGAUCGCGAUGCGUUGGGGAAGGGGGAGGGAGAGUGGGUCGUCGAGUUUUACAGUGGAGAGAGAGAGACGAUUCUAGCCUCCUCCCUCGUUGACGAAAUGAGGUUUGUCAAGAAUGGAUGAUGGGAAUUGCGGCGUAAUGACGUGUGAUGGUGAUAAUGGAUUCCUUUUAUGGAAACAACUUGCACGAAAAUUCGCGGAGCAGAUCUAAAAGGCGGGAUCAAUUAUCGAGCCUAGAUUGUACUUCGUUCGAUGAAAAUCCUUUGACAUCGACGCCGCGAUUAAUGGAGGGCAGCGAGUAAAUGUAAUUUACGAUUGCCAGGGAUGUUAAGGAAAAUACGGAAGCCAUCCAUUUCGGGGAAGAAGUUAUGAAAUCCGCAAAAAUUUCGCACGGAUCCAACAUAAAUUAUUUCUGAGCGUCUAGACGUAGGGGCGUAGACCGAGACUGUAUAAAGGUUUCGUUAUCGUGGCCUCCCCGUUGAAUCCCGCCGGUUAUCCGUGGGGCACGUUGCAUUUAAGAACGGCACGAGACGCGCACUAAUCUUCGCGUCUCUUCCCACCUUGGAGCGUAGGAUUUCGCGGAGAAAGAAAAGUACCUCGCGUAUUAUCGUCCAGUAUGCAACCCAGGUAUCUCCCUUGACUUAUGAGGGGGAGCUCUCUUCGCGAGAAAAAACCACCUUUGCAGAAUCGGAAGGAGGGGAUCAUUAAAAUAUUCGAGCUGCUGGGAAUCGAGGAUUUCUGCGCGAAUUUGUGUUUUUAUAAUGGAAUUAUAAUGUAUUUAUAAUGUAAAGAGUGAAGUUUGAAUAAAUUAUUGUGAACAUCUUU
rnacentral:lncRNA from 1 species